UACGAAGGGGGCUAGCGUUGUUCGGAAUUACUGGGCGUAAAGGGCGCGUAGGCGGCGUGUCAAGUCAGGCGUGAAAGCCCCCGGGCUCAACCUGGGAACCGCGCUUGAGACUGGCAUGCUCGAGUUCGGGAGAGGAUGGUGGAAUUCCCAGUGUAGAGGUGAAAUUCGUAGAUAUUGGGAAGAACACCGAUGGCGAAGGCAGCCAUCUGGACCGACACUGACGCUGAGGCGCGAAAGCGUGGGGAGCAACAGG
rnacentral:rRNA from 1 species